UUGCUCCCAGGAUGGGCAGACAGUGCUGUGGUUCCACGUCCAACCUUUUAACCGCGCACCAUGUAACCCGCACCUCUGCGGGGCCCUCUGGGCACCGGAAGGGUGUGAAAUCCCUUUUACAAAAACCACGAAGACAUGGAAAGAUUUGUAACGAUGCUGCCGGAAAGAGCAGACCUCAAAAUCAUGUUGACAGCCCUGCUAAAAGUUUAUCCACCAAAAGACAGAGACAGAAGAGUCACAGAAGCCCAGGUGCUAUGAUGCAGGGUGGCUGGAGUGGAGGCUCCCACGGCAUUGGAACUCUGAACAUGUUCUAAGUUUAUGAAGAGGAAAGAGGUUUCUCUCUUCCUAUCACCAGGAGGAACCCAACCCUGGAGUUUUUCCUAUUUUCUGGCAAUAAAGUGAGAAUUUAUUCCACA